rnacentral:lncRNA from 1 species
GGAAACUUUCUGAAAGAUGGCGGCUGAGGAACUGCAGAGUUGAGAGGUAGCCGUAGGUCUGCAGCACCAGAUUCCUGCGACACUGCAGCAGCCAGGGAGAAGAGAAGAAACAACAGAGAGCCCUGCCUCCCCUGGCUUCAGGGUGACACCAGGACUCUGUGGAAUGACUUUUUUUUAGUUUAGUACAAACUCAGGACUGCCCCUGGGUGAAAAAUACCUUUCUUCUCAGAUUAACCCAAGCUGUAACCACCCCACAACGUGAAGAGUGCUGUCUCCUUAGCUGUGGCUGAAGAGCUCCUCGUGGAUGCAGGGAGCUGAUCUAUUCCAAAAGGUUCACCUGACUGAAGUCUCCACCUAGGUCUUUGCAUCUGCUGAUCCACCCGCAAGCUUGCAGGAAUAUAGGGGACACACCGGCUCUCUAGAACUGAAACCGAGUUUUCUCAGAAACACUGAAUUUGCCCAUCAAUAGAAGGAAGUCUGUGUGCUCACACCUGACAGGCACCUGUUCUCAUGAACAUCACUCCUGAAACAGGAAAACGAUUUUACUCUUCCCUGGUGGGAAAGGGAUCUGUCUUCCUCCUCAUCCCAAAUCCAUUCUCAAAUCAAAUCUAAGAAUAUGAAACAGGAGGAAGCUAGAAUUCUGAUCUCUAAGGAGCACCGAGCCAGCUACCCAGAGGUCAUGAGGUGCUGAAACUUUCAGAGGUAGCUGCUUGUUCUAAAGUGUGCGGCACAAGGGGUGUGUACAUGUGUGUGUGGUAUGCCCUUGGCUCCAGAAAAACUGCAGAUAAGACCUAAGAAACACUCUGAAUUUUGUGUUCCACACCCCGCUUUCCAACAGAAAAGCUAUUCUUCAGUGAGCAUUCCUUGUUAUGUUUCCUUAAAUUUAUUGCAGUUAAGCAUUCGAGAUGUAACAUUAAGAUUAAAAGAAACAAAUAAAAACUACUAUGUUA